GAUGAACGCUGGCGGCGUGCCUAAUACAUGCAAGUCGAGCGAACAGUCGAGGAGCUCGCCCCUUUGUCGUUAGCAGCGGACGGGUGAGACACACGUGGAUAACCUACAUAAAAGACUUGGCUAUCUUCGGGCAAUGGGAGCUAAUACUGGAUAAUAUAUAUAACCGCAUGGUUUAAGAGUGAAAGACUGUUUUGCUGUCACUCAUAGAUGGAUCCGCGCCGUAUUAGCUAGUUGGUAAGGUAACGGCUUACCAAGGCAACGAUGCGUAGCCGACAUGAGAGGGAGAUCGGCCACACUGGAACGGGGACACGGUCCAGACGCGUACGGGAGGCAGCCGUAGCGAAUCUGCCGCGAUGGGGGAAAGCAUGACGCAGCAACGCCGCGUGAGUGAUGAAGGUCUGCGGCUCGAAGAACUCUGUUAUUAGGGAAGAAAAAAUGUGUAAGUAACUAUGAACGUCAUGACGGUACCUGAUCAGAAAGCCACGGCUAACUACGUG
rnacentral:rRNA from 1 species